CAGGAUCUUUGCUGGGGCCUAUGGGAAGUUGAGGAGGAACACAGACAGAGUGAGAAAGGGGCCACACGAGGGAAGCUGCCUUCAGAGCUAGAUCUCUACAGGCCACGAAACCCUGCAAGUGAAAAGAGGGCUGAACCCGAGGGACCACACCACAGAUGCUUGGAGGGACUGUUCAUGAGACUCGAGUGUAUCCGAGGAAUCUUCCCAGAAUUCAGAAUUUUCGAGCAUGCAUGUCUGUACAUGUGAGUGCAGUGCCUAUGGAGGCCAGAAGAGGACAUCACACCCACACAGGGCUGCACUUUUAGGCAAUUGUGAGUUGCCUGACAUGGGCGCCAGGAACUGAACUCGGGUUCCCUGCAAGACCGGUGAAGAUACACAUGGCUCAGGUUCUGAUGACAUCAGCGAUCAGCCAGAGCUAGGAAGUGAACCCCAAGUUCUCCGAGAGAUGCAUCUGGUGCAAUGGCUCAACAGUGUUCACCAGUGCCACAGUAUAUGUUCUGAGCACGUUUAGCUGUGAAAUUCUUCUUUGUAGAAAUGGUGGGCUGAUGGCUGUGUGUGUGUGUGUGUGUGUGUGUGUGUGUGUGUGUGUGUAUACGCGCACUCACUCACCCAUGUAUACAUAUGCAGUGCUGGAGAGCAAAGCUGACAGCUGACAGCUGUAAAUAAGAUGCUGUUAAUAGGACCUCCUAAAGCCUUUGUGUGGUCACAUGCUUUGUGACUUUCUAAGAACUUGUUAAUAAAGUGAUAAUACUCUUCAGAGUCACAAGAUGACCGAGCCAAACCCCACUAAGGCAGAAUCUCCAAUAUCUGAGUGAGGAAGCCAAGGCCAAGAGCACGGAAGUGAAGGACCACAGCAAGUUAAGCUCCUGAUCCAGGGUGACAAUACAUGUAAGGUGAAUGCCUCUUGACGGCACUCAGCUAAAUGAUACAAACUGUCACAAGACGACAAAGAGCAGGGGUCUACUGUAUGAGGCAUCGGGAGCAGUGCAGAGAGACAGGAAGUAGAGUGGUGUCUGUCUGGGGCUGGGGGGGAGCAGAAAAUCUUCAGUGGAGAUAGGUUUUGCAAGCAGAACAGAAUUGGGAGGGAUGAAUGGCAGUGAGCUGAUUGCUCAUGAUUGUAUCCUCCAUUACUGACCCUUAUAUAUACUUAAAAUAGUUAAUAUGGUUAAUUUUAUGACACACACACACAUAUAUAUAUAUAUAUAUUUUAAACCAUACUGAAAAAAAUAGUUGGGAGGAGGAGGAAGGCACAGAAAUGCCUCAAGGCUGCUUUUUGGGCAAUAGUCAUUAUUAGCUCAUUUGU